ACGGAACUUAAACAUGAAGUUAACCCUAUUCCAAAUACGUUUUUAAACUAUUCAAGUGAUGAAAGUUAUUGUUGUUUUUAAGCGUUUAUUAGCAAGUGGGAACGACCAACAUGGCCGCCAUCUAUUCAAAUGGGGGUAACCGCUGGAAUAUUCUUGGCUUCCAUUUUACUAAAAGAGAUGCGCUAUCUAGUGUAUAUAAGAUAUCUAUGGAGC